rnacentral:misc_RNA from 1 species
GAUGAAGAACGUAGUGAAAUGCGAUAAGUAAUGUGAAUUGCAGAAUUCAGUGAAUCAUCGAAUCUUUGAACGCACCUUGCGCCCUUUGGCUAUUCCGAAGGGCAUGCCUGUUUGAGUAUCAUGAACACCUCAACUCUUCACGGCUUGCCGUGAUGAGUUUGGACUUUGGGGGUCUUGCUGGCCUACGAGCCAGCUCCUCUCAAAUGUAUUAGCUUGCCGGUGUUUGGUGGCAUCACAGGUGUGAUAACUAUCUACGCUUGUGGUUUUCCACUAGGUAACCUUCAGCAAUGGAGGUUCACCGGAGCUCACAAAUGUCUCUCCUUGCCAAGGACAGAUUUUGACCAUUUGAUCUCAAAUCAGGUAGGACUACCCGCUGAACUUAAGCAUAUCAAUAAGCGGAGGA